rnacentral:rRNA from 1 species
UACGUAGGGGGCAAGCGUUAUCCGGAUUUACUGGGUGUAAAGGGAGCGUAGACGGCGAUGCGAGCCAGAUGUGAAAGCCCGGGGCUCAACCCCGGGACUGCAUUUGGAACUGUGUGGCUGGAGUGUCGGAGAGGCAAGUGGAAUUCCUAGUGUAGCGGUGAAAUGCGUAGAUAUUAGGAGGAACACCAGUGGCGAAGGCGGCUUGCUGGACGAUGACUGACGUUGAGGCUCGAAAGCGUGGGGAGCAAACAGG